AAACAUUUCUUUAAGAAAUUAAUUUAAAGUAAAGCCUGCCCUAUGAUUGAAAUUUAAUGGCCGCAGAAAUUUAACUGUGCUAAGGUAGCAUAAUCAUUAGUCUUUUAAUUUUUGACUGGAAUGAACGGCCCUACAUUUCUUUUCCUUUCUUUUUCAAAAAUAUAAAAAUUAUAUUAAAUAUAAAAAUAUAUUUAUUAAAAAAUUAGACGACAAGACCCUUUCAAACUUUACUUAAGUUUAGCUGGGGAAGCUAAAAAAUCAAAAUCUUUAUUAUUUUCUCAAAAAUAUGAUCCAUUUAUAAAUGAUUUUUUGAUCAAGUUACUGUAGGGAUAACAGCAUAAUAAAUUUUUAUAGAUCUUAUAAAAAAAUUAGUUUAUGACCUCGAUGUUGAAUUAUUUAACUUUCACAACGCAAGAGUUUGAAAAGUAGGUCUGUUCGACCUUAAAAAUUUUACAUGAUCUGAGU
rnacentral:rRNA from 1 species